UCUCUCCUCUCCUCUCCUCUCCUCUCCUCUCUACUCCUCACCUCCUCGCUCCGUUCCGUUCCUCCGGCGCUGUAUCCGGCGGCCACUCUUGGUCCACUCCACCUCUUCCGAGCGUCCUGUGCGUUUGGCAGGCGGCCAACCGAAGCGCGGGGAAGCGACACCGCCAGGGCGGCAGAAAAUUUUCCCCUCCGUUUCGGGCUCCUUCCCCAGCGGCAGGCGGGCGGACAUUGGCUGGAAAGUGGAGCAGCUCGUCAGGGACGAUCAAUGAACAUCGAUCCACGCUGGCCGCGCCGAGGAGGCUUUGGCUACUAAAAAAAAGAGAAAGAAAUAAAGCAAUGUGCUGCAUGAGGAUUUCUUUUUCUUUUUUUUUUCACUCCUUAAUUGCAAAAGAAGGUAACUAUAAAGUUUGGAACAACAUCAUGACACAAAGUGAGCAAGCCAGAGGAGACGGUGGCAAGGAAAAACCCCCUGAGACGAUAUGAGGAAGAAACAUUGAGAGGAAUGUGACUCAAAAGGGAACCCGUCCUCAUCUGGGUGACACCAGAUUAUAAUUAUGCAAUUAUAGAUAAUUACUCUUAUAGAACUGUGUGCUACAUGGCCAGAAUGUUGUGUAACCAGGAAAUUCAUUAUAGUUUUAACAUGAAGUCUA